AAAAGUUUAGCUAAUUCUAUCAUUACUUUCUGUAAUGUAGCUAACACUGGUUAGAAAAAAGAUAACAGUCUGCUGUGCAGCUGAUAAAAUAAAAAUAACGGUCUGCUGUGCGGCUGAUAAAAAAAACAUAACGGUCUGCUGUGCGGCUGAUAAAAAAAACAUAACGGUCUGCUGUGCGGCUGAUAAAACAAACAUAACGGUCUGCUGUGCGGCUGAUAAAAUAAAAAUAACGGUCUGCUGUGCGGCUGAUAAAACAAAAAAAAAAAUAACGGUCUGCUGUGCGGC